UGCAGAGGGUGCGAGCGUUAAUCGGAUUUACUGGGCGUAAAGCGUACGUAGGCGGCUUUUUUAAGUCGGAUGUGAAAUCCCUGAGCUUAACUUAGGAAUUGCAUUCGAUACUGGGAAGCUAGAGUAUGGGAGAGGAUGGUAGAAUUCCAGGUGUAGCGGUGAAAUGCGUAGAGAUCUGGAGGAAUACCGAUGGCGAAGGCAGCCAUCUGGCCUAAUACUGACGCUGAGGUACGAAAGCAUGGGGAGCAAACAGG
rnacentral:rRNA from 1 species